rnacentral:rRNA from 1 species
GAUGAACGCUGGCGGCGUGCUUAACACAUGCAAGUCGAACGAAGCACUUUAUUUGAUUUCCUUCGGGACUGAUUAUUUUGUGACUGAGUGGCGGACGGGUGAGUAACGCGUGGGUCACCUGCAUUGUACAGGGGGCGAACCGUUGGCAACGGCUGCUAAUACCGCAUAAGCGCACGGCAUCGCAUGCUGCAGUGUUAAAAACUCCGGUAGCAUACGAUGAACCGCGUUGCUUUGGUUAGUUAGUGAGCUAACGGCACAACAAGGCGACGAUCCAUAGCCGACCUGAGAGACAGACUGGCCACAUUGGGACGGAGACACGGCCCGAACUCUUACGGGAGGCAGCAGUGGGGAAUGGUGCACAACCGGCUAAAGGCUGAUGCAGCGACGCCGCUAGAGCUAAGAAGUAUUUCGGGAUGUAAAGCUCUAGCAGCAGUGCAGAUAAUGACGGUACCUGACUAAGAAGCACCGGCUAAAUACGUG